UUGAACGCUGGCGGCAGGCCUAACACAUGCAAGUCGAGCGGAAACGAGUUAACUGAACCUUCGGGGGAACGUUAACGGCGUCGAGCGGCGGACGGGUGAGUAAUGCCUGGGAAAUUGCCCUGAUGUGGGGGAUAACCAUUGGAAACGAUGGCUAAUACCGCAUAAUAGCUUCGGCUCAAAGAGGGGGACCUUCGGGCCUCUCGCGUCAGGAUAUGCCCAGGUGGGAUUAGCUAGUUGGUGAGGUAAGGGCUCACCAAGGCGACGAUCCCUAGCUGGUCUGAGAGGAUGAUCAGCCACACUGGAACUGAGACACGGUCCAGACUCCUACGGGAGGCAGCAGUGGGGAAUAUUGCACAAUGGGCGCAAGCCUGAUGCAGCCAUGCCGCGUGUAUGAAGAAGGCCUUCGGGUUGUAAAGUACUUUCAGCAGUGAGGAAGGUUCAUNCGUUAAUAGCGUAUGGAUUUGACGUUAGCUGCAGAAGAAGCACCGGCUAACUCCGUGCCAGCAGCCGCGGUAAUACGGAGGGUGCGAGCGUUAAUCGGAAUUACUGGGCGUAAAGCGCAUGCAGGUGGUUUGUUAAGUCAGAUGUGAAAGCCCGGGGCUCAACCUCGGAAUUGCAUUUGAAACUGGCAGACUAGAGUACUGUAGAGGGGGGU
rnacentral:rRNA from 1 species